rnacentral:rRNA from 1 species
ACGGGAGGCAGCAGUGGGGAAUAUUGCACAAUGGGGGAAACCCUGAUGCAGCGACGCCGCGUGAAGGAAGAAGUAUUUCGGUAUGUAAACUUCUAUCAGCAGGGAAGAAGAAUGACGGUACCUGACUAAGAAGCCCCGGCUAACUACGUGCCAGCAGCCGCGGUAAUACGUAGGGGGCAAGCGUUAUCCGGAUUUACUGGGUGUAAAGGGAGCGUAGGCGGCCCGGCAAGUCAGAAGUGAAAACCCAGGGCUUAACUCUGGGAUUGCUUUUGAAACUGUCAGGCUCGAUUGCCGGAGAGGUAAGUGGAAUUCCUAGUGUAGCGGUGAAAUGCGUAGAUAUUAGGAGGAACACCAGUGGCGAAGGCGGCUUACUGGACGGUAAAUGACGCUGAGGCUCGAAAGCGUGGGGAGCAAACAGGAUUAGAUACCCUGGUA